GAUGAACGCUGGCGGCGUGCUUAACACAUGCAAGUCGAACGGAAAGGCCCAAGCUUGCUUGGGUACUCGAGUGGCGAACGGGUGAGUAACACGUGGGUGAUCUGCCCUGCACUUCGGGAUAAGCCUGGGAAACUGGGUCUAAUACCGGAUAGGACCACAUUUUGGAUGGUGUGGUGGAAAGUUUUUCGGUGUGGGAUGAGCUCGCGGCCUAUCAGCUUGUUGGUGGGGUAAUGGCCUACCAAGGCGUCGACGGGUAGCCGGCCUGAGAGGGUGUACGGCCACAUUGGGACUGAGAUACGGCCCAGACUCCUACGGGAAGCAGCAGUGGGGAAUAUUGCACAAUGGGCGCAAGCCUGAUGCAGCGACGCCGCGUGGGGGAUGACGGCAUUCGGGUUGUAAACUCCUUUCGCUAGGGACGAAGCGUUAUGUGACGGUACCUGGAGAAGAAGCACCGGCUAACUACGUG
rnacentral:rRNA from 1 species